rnacentral:rRNA from 1 species
CCUACGGGCGGCUGCAGUGGGGAAUAUUGGUCAAUGGGCGCAAGCCUGACCCAGCAACGCCGCGUGAAGGAAGAAGGCUUUCGGGUUGUAAACUUCUUUUCUCAGGGACGAAGAAAGUGACGGUACCUGAGGAAUAAGCCACGGCUAACUACGUGCCAGCAGCCGCGGUACUACGGAGGUGGCAAGCGUUAGCCGGAUUUAUUGGGUGUAAAGGGCGUGUAGGCGGGAGAGCAAGUCAGAUGUGAAAACUUAGGGCUCAACCCUGAGCCUGCAUUUGAAACUGUUAUUCUUGAGUGCUGGAGAGGCAAUCGGAAUUCGUGGUGUAGCGGUGAAAUGCGUAGAGAUAAGGAGGAACACGAGUGGCGAAGGCGGAUUGCUGGACAGUAACUGACGCUGAGGCGCGAAAGCGUGGGGAGCAAACAGGAUUAGAUACCCUAGUAGUC